rnacentral:rRNA from 3 species
CGUCCCCAAGUCAGGCGUGAAUACCCGCUGAGUUUAAGCAUAUCACUAAGCGGAGGAAAAGAAACUUACCAGGAUUCCCCUAGUAACGGCGAGCGAACCGGGAAGAGCCCAGCAUGAAAAUCGACGGCCCCGCCUGUCGA